rfam:Ipomoea nil DNA, scaffold: scaffold0869, cultivar: Tokyo-kokei standard.
GGUCUUGUAACUCAGUUGGUUAGAGUGUUGGUCUUGUGAGCCGAAAGUUGUGGGUUUAAGUCCCACUAAGACCA